rnacentral:rRNA from 2 species
AAAACGACUCUCGGCAACGGAUAUCUCGGCUCUCGCAUCGAUGAAGAACGUAGCGAAAUGCGAUACUUGGUGUGAAUUGCAGAAUCCCGUGAACCAUCGAGUCUUUGAACGCAAGUUGCGCCCAAAGCCUUCUGGCCGAGGGCACGUCUGCCUGGGCGUCACAA